AUCGGGUAAUAGCAUGGCUAUAUACAGGAAGCAUCGGGUAAUAACAUGGCUAUAUACAGGAAGUAUCGGGUAAUAGCAUGGCUAUAUACAGGAAGCAUCGGGUAAUAACAUGGCUAUAUACAGGAAGUAUCGGGUAAUAGCAUGGCUAUAUACAGGAAGUACCGGGUAAUAACAUGGCUAUAUACAGGAAGUAUCGGGUAAUAGCAUGGCUAUAUACAGGAAGCAUCGGGUAAUAACAUGGCUAUAUACAGGAAGUAUCGGGUAAUAGCAUGGCUAUAUACAGGAAGCAUCGGGUAAUAACAUGGCUAUAUACAGGAAGUAUCGGGUAAUAGCAUGGCUAUAUACAGGAAGUACCGGGUAAUAGCAUGGCUAUAUACAGGAAGUAUCGGGUAAUAGCAUGGCUAUAUACAGGAAGUAUCGGGUAAUAACAUGGCUAUAUAGAGGAAGUAGCGGGUAAUAGCAUGGCUAUAUACAGGAAGUAUCGGGUAAUAACAUGGCUAUAUAGAGGAAGUAGCGGGUAAUAGCAUGGCUAUAUACAGGAAGUAUCGGGUAAUAACAUGGCUAUAUAGAGGAAGUAGCGGGUAAUAGCAUGGCUAUAUAGAGGAAGUAGCGGGUAAUAACAUGGCUAUAUACAGGAAGUAUCGGGUAAUAGCAUGGCUAUAUAGAGGAAGUAGCGGGUAAUAACAUGGCUAUAUAGAGGAAGUAGCGGGUAAUAACAUGGCUAUAUACAGGAAGUAUCGGGUAAUAGCAUGGCUAUAUACAGGAAGUAUCGGGUAAUAACAUGGCUAUAUAGAGGAAGUAGCGGGUAAUAGAGAGAGAGAGAGAGAGAGAGACACAGAACAUGGGUGUGACAUUGAGGCGGAGUGGAAGAAGUAGAGAAGUGGAGGAACAGAGAGAGUCCCUGUGGAUUAAAGAGCUGUAUACCUGAGAGCACUAGUAAUGGUAUAUUUUAUAGGCACAGCUCUGCCAUGGCUCUUUGGCCAAAACAUCCCUAUGGGGAUUAUAUUUUAAUAAACAACUCAAAUAUGGUAUGUGGUAAACACAGGCUUAGGAGAUCUCAUCCGUUUUGUUCUAUGAGGAAAUCUAUCAGCUAACAUCACUUAUUUCUGUAAUCAAAACAAACACAAAGGCUUCAUAAUUCAUGAAGGUCAUGUUAACUGACUGAUAGUAUCUCAUAAGAACAUCUCCUAAACCUGUGUUCAUCUCAGACCUUAUUUUCAGUGUUAAUCCCAUAAACCCAUUCUUUCCCCACAUAGGAACGGCUGAACAAACCAGAAAGAACUAAUUUCAUUUCUUUAAGACGACAAGCUGCUGGCCAUCUCCAUUAUGUAGGUUGGGACAGCAGUACCACACACACCUGAUGUGACGGCCCCAACCUCAGCCCAAAUCAUCUGGAUAUGCCCCCCUUAUAACACACACACAGACACACAGACACACAGACACACACACACACACACACACACACACACACACACACACACACACACACACACACACACACCGCUCUAGAGGUCUGAACGUUUAAACCUUAAAACGAAGAUGGGAUCCUUAACGUUAAAGAAAAAUCCCACAAAAUGUCAAUGACAGUGCAGUUAUCACAA
rnacentral:lncRNA from 1 species